GCCUCGGUAGCUCAGUGGUAGAGCAAAGGACUGAAAAUCCUUGUGUCGUCAGUUCGAUUCUGACCCGAGGCACCU
rnacentral:tRNA from 1 species